AGCAGUAUGGUGUAUGGUGCACACGGGGUAUUAUUACUGUCCCGGUAGCCUCUCAGAUAGUUUACCUCGAGGUCCUUGUUCGAGUCAAGGUACUGUUA